AUUGAACGCUGGCGGCAGGCCUAACACAUGCAAGUCGAGCGAGCGGCGGACGGGUGAGUAAUGUCUGGGAAACUGCCUGAUGGAGGGGGAUAACUACUGGAAACGGUAGCUAAUACCGCAUACCAUCAGAUGUGCCCAUAUGUGAUGAGCUAGUAGGUGGGGUAAUGGCUCACCUAGGCGACGAUCCCUAGCUGGUCUGAGAGGAUGAACAGCAACACUGGAACGGGGACACGGUCCAGACUCCUACGGGAGGCAGCAGUGGGGAAUAUUGCACAAUGGGCGCAAGCCUGAUGCAGCCAUUCCGCGUGUGUGAAGCAGGCCUUCGGGUUGUAAAGCAUUUUCAGCGAGGAGGCGUUACCCGCAGAAGAAGCACCGGCUAACUCCGUGCCAGCCGCCGCGGUAAUAC
rnacentral:rRNA from 1 species